UACGUAGGGUGCGAGCGUUGUCCGGAAUUAUUGGGCGUAAAGAGCUUGUAGGCGGUUUGUCGCGUCUGCUGUGAAAAUCCGGGGCUCAACCCCGGACUUGCAGUGGGUACGGGCAGACUAGAGUGUGGUAGGGGAGACUGGAAUUCCUGGUGUAGCGGUGAAAUGCGCAGAUAUCAGGAGGAACACCGGUGGCGAAGGCGGGUCUCUGGGCCGUAACUGACGCUGAGGAGCGAAAGCAUGGGGAGCGAACAG
rnacentral:rRNA from 1 species